AAUAUCCGGAACACAAGGUU
rnacentral:snRNA from 1 species